UCAGGCCUACGGGAGGCAGCAGUGGGGGAUAUUGCACAAUGGGGGAAACCCUGAUGCAGCGACGCCGCGUGGACGAAGAAGUAUUUCGGUAUGUAAAGUCCUAUCAGCAGGGAAGAAGAAAUGACGGUACCUGACUAAGAAGCCCCGGCUAACUACGUGCCAGCAGCCGCGGUAAUACGUAGGGGGCAAGCGUUAUCCGGAAUGAUUGGGCGUAAAGGGUGCGUAGGCGGCCUGCUAAGUCUGGAGUGAAAGGUACCGGCUCAACCGGUACAGGCUCUGGAGACUG
rnacentral:rRNA from 1 species